GGGAAUUUUUUAUUGGGGCCUAAACAAAAAUAAAAAGUUUUCACGAGAAAAAAAAUAGAAGAAAAUUAGUGCGUUUUUCGCUGGUCAGGAAGCGCCAUGAACGGACUAAGUUUGAGCGAGCUGUGCUGCCUUUUCUGCUGCCCCCCCUUCCCAGGGAGGAUCGCAGCAAAACUAGCGUUCCUGCCACCGGAGCCCACCUACAAAUUCGUGCCGUGCGACGAAGCCAAUACAAAGUACAGGAUUCAGUAUCUGGAUAGGGCAGAAUGGCAAUUUGGGGAACGAGACAAAGACACCGUGGAGAGCUUUUUCACGCGCACAUCCCGCGGGAAUCUCAUCCCGUGCAUCUUCAUCAAGUGCAGCACAAAUGCCAAGUACACCCUCCUCUUCUCGCACGGGAAUGCCGUGGAUUUGGGACAGAUGAGCAGCUUCUACAUGGGCCUGGGUUCACGGAUAAAUUGCAACAUUUUCAGCUACGACUACUCCGGGUACGGCAUCAGUGCUGGGCGCCCCAGUGAAAAGAAUCUCUAUGCGGACAUUGAAGCCGCCUGGCAUGCCCUACGCAAUCGCUACGGCAUCAGCCCGGAGAAUGUAAUCCUCUAUGGGCAGAGCAUCGGCACUGUGCCCACCAUUGACAUUGCCACAAAGUACGAAGUGGGUGCCGUCAUUCUGCACUCACCCCUCAUGUCUGGGAUGCGUGUGGCUUUCCCCAAUACAAAGCGCACGUGGUUCUUUGAUGUAUUCCCGAGCAUUGAUAAGGUUUCCAAAGUACAGAGCCCCGUGCUCGUCAUUCACGGCACGGAAGACGAAGUUAUUGAUUUCUCACAUGGAAUUGGAAUCUUUGAGAAGUGCGCCAAAGCCGUGGAGCCCCUGUGGGUGGAUGGAGCUGGGCACAAUGAUGUAGAGCUGUACAAUCAGUACCUCGAUAGACUGAAGAAAUUCGUCUCGGUGGAACUUGGUAACUGACAAUCACUCGUUGCUCCUGAUAGCAGGAGCAAAUGGAUUCCCAAUAAGCCUCAAAUCUUCUAUUCGUAUAAAUAUCCAGAAAACAGUGACUAUCAUAAAUACAAAGAUUCUUCGUCAUCAAGCGAUUCAGUAAUAGAACCAAAUGAAGACUUUCCCUAACAUCCGGAUCCCGGAACUACCGGGAUCAAAAGAAGUUUUAUCUCAAAAAUCACUGGCGGCAGCCAACAAACAAAAAAAUCCCCCAAGUCUCAAAAGUCUCCCAAACUACAAGUAUGCCUCUAUGGUGACACAGGCGUUGCCGCAAAAUUAUCCGGUCAAGCAACAUCGACAUCGUCGAGUAUUCCGCCGCCACCCCCGCCGGCCAAGAAGCCCAAUUCUAACAAACCCAAAAAAUGCACGUGUGUCUAUAAGCGUCAAACCCUCGCGGAAUGCAUGUCCCCGAGCACAAUUUCCACUGAGAAGCGUCAGAGUGUCCCAUCGCCAUUCCACAAAGGACAACCAUCAAAGGAUACCUCAUCUCCAUGCAUCUGCCGCGCUUCGCAGAGUGGAACAGGUAUUAUGUAUCAUUCAGAUAUGGGAUCGACCCCAAUAAUAGUAGAUAUGUCAACAAUUGAAGUACCCCCACUCGUGAUCAUCGAAGCCCCUGGAUUUGUAUCGUAUCCAUCACCCAAAUCCAAACCCAAACCAGCACCCACUCCACAGGUAGAGAAGAGCACACUUAAUGCAGCCACAGUUGCCACAAGUCCCAAAUUGGAGGCAAAACCCAAGCCGAGCCCAAUGAAGGAGAAUCCCAAUCGUGUCCUAGAAAAAUCCAAUAGUCUUGGUGAAAAGAAACCCCCGAGAGUUCUCCGGAACACCCGGAGCCUGUCGCCACGACCUCCCGUGAAGCAUCAACACGCCAUAACGGUGUCAGAUGAGAAUGACGUUGUUUCAGUGAAGUUAUCACCAAAUGAUGAAUUUAUCGAAGAAGCUGCAGCGAAGAAUGAUGCAACAAAACCAUCCCCGAAUAAAACUUCCCGAAGUCAGAGAGCUUCUCCAAACAUCUUAGAUGGUGGACGAUUAGUAUAUGAAGAUCGUUUUGCCAAUAAUCGCUCAACUGGAUGUCUUGUCUACGUGCCAUCAGACCCCUGGCUGAGGAUUUCCGAUGAGGAAGACACGGGGAAUACACUGGGGAAGAAGAAGAAGAAAAAGAAGGAUACAAAGCGCGUGGAAAAAUCAUUUAGUCGCCCAAAUAUAGCUUCACUCGACAGUGAUGAUCCGUGGGUGUGGAAGGGUCCAGGGGAUGCAGCUGCACGUAAGAAAGCAGCCUAUCGUCAGUCAAAAUCACUCCAAUCCACAGCAGCGGAAUUCUCAUCGCUGAAACUCCUCCCGGCGGGUAAGAAGGACAUUGCAGCUCGUCCGAAACUUCAACGCUCCAAAUCUCCAAUUCAACUCAAUGAACCCGAAGAUGCGGCGGGACAAAAGGGUGCAACUCUUGGGGUCACGAGUGCCAAUCAUCUUCUACCACGACAUAGUUUUUCCACGAGCCCAACACAGCGCGAUGAGGAGCUACAGCUAAACAUUCGUCGCCUCAGUGAGCAGAUGCGACACACACCAGCCUACAACACUGCCUACGAGGCAAGGGAUCAGCAGGAGAGGCGACGGGCAGCAUCACCACUACCACCACCGCCGCCGCCACCGCCUGCACCUCCUGCAGAUCCACUCCUCGAGACGACGUGCUAAGGAGUCGCCCCGGAGGUUCCCCCAAUGUGAUUCCGAGGGAGACAUUAUAUACUAACGACUU